GUUCAUCUUCUUCGUUCUCGUGCACUUAAAUCAACAGCGAAACAAAAAAGAUUAGCAAGCUGCUAGUAAUGGAAACCAAGCUCAUCGAAAAGGUCAGCGAAGUAAUCUCAGCUAUAGAGAGCGCUAAGCACGUCGUCGAAGUCGUUUGCGCACUUCACUCUCUCGCUCUCCUUCUCUUCCCUCUCGAUUCCUCUCUCCUCUCAGGUAGUGUUGAUCAGCGCUAUAGAGAGCAGGUUUGUUCAAAUUUGUACAUGGAGUUUUGAAGAGGUCCUUAGGGCCAAGGUCCCUUCAGAAGAAAAGAGGGGGGAGUGGGGGCAAGUGUUCUAUCAAGGAGCUGCAUUUCCGAUAUUGGCUUGAUUUCUGCUACUUGAUUGCUGUUGCACGCAGAUCUUGCUUCUUAUUGGCUAGCUUGUUUCCCCCUCUCAGCACGUAUACAUGUCUAUGAUGUUUUCUUUGUUGAUGGACUUGCCACUGAGGUUGUUCAGACCUUGGUUCCUUGUCUACGGCAGAAAGCAAUUGAUGACCAAGAUGUUAAUUCUGUCCAUUCCAAUACUGAAAGGUUACUUGUACUCUGCUUGCUGGAAAAUGAAGGGGUGCUCCAUAUGGCUAGAGAAUUUGGGCAGUCGAAAAAUUCUGAGUAAACAUUUAAUGCCAGCUGUAUCUAGGGUGGGCAGAUAAUUGCAUCUAUUCCUGACAAAACAAGAUUGGGAGCCCCAACUUCACUCUCAUCAUACUCGUUCUUCAAGCAAAUUACCAUUCAACUUCUUUCAGUAGCAGAGGUAGGGAUGAGAAACUAUUAGGUAAUGGAACUCUCUGCAAUAGAAGCAAUACGGGUGAUGCCUUGCUAUUUGUUGGGGAAACAUUUUCUGAAUUUGUCGAUGUGGAUCUGUUGGUAACUGAAAUAGUUUUAUUAAAAUGAUGUGUGCGUAUGUGUGGGUAUGCGUGCUGUGCUCAUUGCUUUCUCAAUAAGUUAUUUUUCUUUGAAAAAGUUACUAUUUUAUAAUCAUGGGUUACACAAUUAGUUUCAAAUAUAAAAAAUAAUGUUUCCUUAGUUUUAGACCUCAUCAAACUGAUUCCUGAGAUCAUGAAAUCUCAAUUCUGGAUAAGUUGCUGAUUAAAAUAUAUGUGCAGGUUGUUACUGGAAGAAAUUGGGAUUUUGGGUUUGUGUAACGAAAAUCUAUUGUAAUUUUCAGGCUUGUUUAUAUGCACUUGGUUAUUUUGAUGGAAGUAAUUACCCUAAAAGGUUGUAAGUAAUAAAAUGUUGCAGAAUAAGACCUAGUCCCUAUUAAGUCUCUGGUAGUUGUGGGCUCAUAGUCCUGACAAAUAUUACCAUCAACAUCCUUAAGUGUUAAUUGUCUCUCAAACACAAUGGCUGGUACAACUAGCUUAUCUGAGCCAUUAAAACCAUCUUUGUUUUGGUUGAUUUUGCUUUGGGUUGGAUAUAAUGGAUUAAUUAUUCUUCUAUCAUGUUCUACUUGAUGGAUCACAAUUGCAACCAAAGCAUUAUAUAUAUAUAUAUAUAUAUAUAUAUUUUCC